AUUGAACGCUGGCGGCAGGCCUAACACAUGCAAGUCGAGCGGAUGAAGGGAGCUUGCUCCUGGAUUCAGCGGCGGACGGGUGAGUAAUGCCUAGGAAUCUGCCUGGUAGUGGGGGAUAACGUCCGGAAACGGGCGCUAAUACCGCAUACGUCCUGAGGGAGAAAGUGGGGGAUCUUCGGACCUCACGCUAUCAGAUGAGCCUAGGUCGGAUUAGCUAGUUGGUGGGGUAAAGGCCUACCAAGGCGACGAUCCGUAACUGGUCUGAGAGGAUGAUCAGUCACAAUGGAACUGAGACACGGUCCAGACUCCUACGGGAGGCAGCAGUGGGGAAUAUUGGACAAUGGGCGAAAGCCUGAUCCAGCCAUGCCGCGUGUGUGAAGAAGGUCUUCGGAUUGUAAAGCACUUUAAGUUGGGAGGAAGGGCAGUAAGUUAAUACCUUGCUGUUUUGACGUUACCAACAGAAUAAGCACCGGCUAGCUUCGUG
rnacentral:rRNA from 1 species